rnacentral:rRNA from 1 species
UACGUAGGGUGCGAGCGUUGUCCGGAAUUAUUGGGCGUAAAGAGCUCGUAGGCGGUCUGUCGCGUCGAUCGUGAAAACUUGGGGCUUAACCCUGAGCUUGCGGUCGAUACGGGCAUGACUGGAGUUCGGCAGGGGAGACUGGAAUUCCUGGUGUAGCGGUGAAAUGCGUAGAUAUCUGGAGGAACACCGGUGGCGAAGGCGGCAUCCUGGACCGAGAUUGACGCUGAGGCGCGAAAGCCAGGGGAGCAAACGGG